UACAGAGGUCUCGAGCGUUAGGCGGAAUCACUGGGCUUAAAGCGUGUGUAGGCGGAUCGUUAAGUGCCUUGUGAAAUCCCACGGCUCAACCGUGGAACUGCUUGGCAUACUGGCGGUCUUGAGCAACCUAGGGGCGAGCGGAACAAAUGGUGGAGCGGUGAAAUGCGUAGAUAUCAUUUGGAACGCCAAUGGUGAAAACAGCUCGCUGGGGGUUUGCUGACGCUGAGACACGAAAGCCAGGGGGAGCGAACGGG
rnacentral:rRNA from 1 species